ACAGAACUUUAAUAGCAUUUUCAGUUAACAGAAGUGCAAGGAGCUCUUGUUGAACCUGUGUUCCACGAGGAAGGCUUUCAUUAGCCCUUCAUGAUAGGUUCAAACACUUGAAGACCUGAGGAAUUUCAGAGUUGACAUUUAGAUAUUGAGGUAACAGGACAUCUUGGAGUUGAAAUUUCCAGAAUCUUUGCUGGAAAGUCUCAUAAUCUCAAAGCAAAAUCAAGCAAAUUUGGAGCAAAGUUGCUGAAAAUGUCAAGGCAUGAAAUCCAAGGUAAAAAGAUGGCCUAUCAGAAGGUCCAUGCAGAUCAAAGAGCUCCAGGACACUCACAGUACUUAGACAAUGAUGACCUUCAAGCCACUGCCCUUGACUUAGAGUGGGACAUGGAGAAGGAACUAGAGGAGUCUGGUUUUGACCAAUUCCAGCUAGACAGUGCUGAGAAUCAGAACCUAGGGCAUUCAGAGACUGUAGACCUCAAUCUUGAUUCCAUUCAACCAGCAACUUCACCCAAAGGAAGGUUCCAGAGACUUCAAGAAGAAUCUGACUACAUUACCCAUUAUACACGAUCUGCACCAAAGAGCAAUCGCUGCAACUUUUGCCACCUCUUAAAAAUACUUUGCACAGCCACCAUUUUAUUUAUUUUUGGGAUUUUGAUAGGUUAUUAUGUACAUACAAAUUGCCCUUCAGAUGCUCCAUCUUCAGGAACAGUUGAUCCUCAGUUAUAUCAAGAGAUUCUCAAGACAAUCCAGGCAGAAGAUAUUAAGAAGUCUUUCAGAAAUUUGGUACAACUAUAUAAAAAUGAAGAUGACACGGAAAUUUCAAAGAAGAUUAAGACUCAGUGGACCUCUUUGGGCCUAGAAGAUGUACAGUUUGUAAAUUACUCUGUGCUGCUUAAUCUGCCAGGCCCUUCUCCCAGCACCGUGACUCUGAGCAGCAGUGGGCAAUGCUUUCAUCCUAAUGGCCAGCCUUGCAGUGAAGAAGCCAGAAAAGACAGCAACCAAGACCUGCUCUAUUCAUAUGCAGCCUAUUCUGCCAAAGGAACUCUCAAGGCUGAAGUCAUCGAUGUGAGUUAUGGAAUGGCAGAUGAUUUAAAAAGGAUUAGGAAAAUAAAAAAUGUAACAAAUCAGAUCGCCCUCCUGAAAUUAGGAAAAUUGCCACUGCUUUAUAAGCUUUCCUCAUUGGAAAAGGCUGGAUUUGGAGGUGUUCUUCUGUAUAUUGAUCCUUGUGAUUUGCCAAAGACUGUGAAUCCUAGCCAUGAUACCUUCAUGGUGUCACUGAAUCCAGGAGGAGACCCUUCUACGCCUGGUUACCCAAGUGUCGAUGGAAGUUUUAGACAAAGCCGAUCAAACCUCACCUCUCUGUUAGUGCAGCCCAUCUCUGCAUCCCUCGUUGCAAAACUGAUCUCUUCGCCAAAAGCUAGAACCAAAAAUGAUGCCUGUAGCCCUCUAGAGCUUCCAAAUAAUGAAGUAAGAGUCAUCAGCAUGCAAGUUCAGACAGUCACAAAAUUGAAAACAGUUACUAAUGUUGUUGGAUAUGUAAUGGGCUUGACAUCUCCAGACCGGUAUAUCAUAGUUGGCAGCCAUCAUCACACCGCACACAGUUAUAAUGGACAAGAAUGGGCCAGUAGUACCGCAAUAAUCACAGCGUUUAUCCGUGCCUUGAUGUCAAAAGUUAAGAGAGGGUGGAGACCAGACCGAACUAUCGUUUUCUGUUCUUGGGGAGGAACGGCUUUUGGCAAUAUUGGCUCAUAUGAAUGGGGAGAGGAUUUCAAGAAGGUUCUUCAGAAAAAUGUUGUGGCUUAUAUUAGCCUCCACAGUCCCAUAAGGGGGAACUCUAGUCUGUAUCCUGUAGCAUCACCGUCUCUUCAGCAACUGGUAGUAGAGAAAAAUAAUUUCAACUGUACCAGAAGAGCUCAGUGCCCAGAAACCAAUAUCAGUUCUAUACAGAUACAAGGUGAUGCUGAUUAUUUCAUCAACCAUCUUGGAGUUCCCAUCGUGCAGUUUGCUUAUGAGGACAUCAAAACAUUAGAGGCUGAAUAGGCUGGGCGCGGUGGCUCAUGCCUGUAAUCCCUGCCCUUUGUGAGGCCGAGGCAGGAGGAUC
rnacentral:sRNA from 1 species